rnacentral:lncRNA from 10 species
GCUAAACUUUACCUCAACAUUUAUGUAAAGUUAAAGCUGCACAGAAUAAACCAAGAUUCUGAGUCUUGAAAGUUUAUUUCAAAGAAAAGACAAUGCCUGUGCCACAUAUUUGACUUGGUUUUAAUUUGCAGUAGAAAGAAUAAGAACAAGAAGAGGGGAGGAAAGGAGGUGUCAGAAGGCAAAAAGAAGAGUACUUUGAGGCUCUUUGGAGACCUAGAGUAAAAAAUACUGCCAUUAAAUGGAGCCACCAUGAAUUUUAUAAAUAUUACGAAGCUCCAGGAAAUAUGAGCAGGAUCUCAAAUAUAUUCAACAAGCUUCCAAUUUUUGUCUUUUGAGAUGGUUGCUCUUGGAACACAGAAAUAUGCUUUAAGAUGUCAAGCCUCCUCUGCUGAUGCUGUAUGGAGAACAGACAAGCUUUCCCAUCAAGCCCUAACCAAACUGCAGAACUGUGAAUAAAAUCAAUAAUUGUUAUGAAAAGGCA